CCAGAUAACCUGGAGUGUCUCAGGCCUCCUGGAUGCCAGAACCACGGAGGGCGGGAGGGACUUCUGUGCUAAAUUGCGGUCAUUGUUUCUUCAGAAUUUCACUAGGUAGCCUUGGCUAACCUGGAAUUAGCCAUGAAGACCUGGAACUCACAGAAAUCUGUCCUACAGCCGUCCCUGUGCCGAUUGCUGUCCUACGGCUGUCUACGGCUGUCCCUGUGCCGAUUGCUGUCCUACGGCUGUCCCUGUGUUGGGCAUUCUGUUUUCCACUCUUCGUGCUGCCUCUGUUGCUGUCAUUCAUCUGCAGUAGGAGACAUUUCUUGAUCUUCAUCAGCGGUGACCCCGACUCUGUUUCUGCCUCUGGCCAGCCAGGAUUCAGGACUCACUAAGGCUUUGAGCUUCCUCCCCCAACUUGUGAAUGAUCACAGCCUUUGCUUACCUUCUCCUCUGCUCAGGCGUUUUUGUCUGAUUUUGGAGUGGAAGACCAGAGAGAACUCCUCUGCCUCUUUUAAGACGGGAAAUCCUCAACUCAAGCGGGGCAGGGAGUUACAGCUCAUUUGAGUACUCCAAGUCAGAUAAAGUGGCCCUAACUCUCAUGUGGAAGUUUAGUGAGUUGUGAGCAUCAAGGGCAAGUUAUAUGGAAGGAAGGAAGGCAUGCAGAACCUCCUACCUCUGACCACAGACAAAACUGCAUUAAUAAGCAUGGCAUUCCAGCACAGAGAUGAAUCCUCCUUGGAAGGUACAGAUGAGAUGGAUGCUCUGGGCACCGCUAACCCAUGGAUCCAGAACAAGUCAUGUCUUUUACCAGAAGCAAAGCUGUGUUUUAUGUGUAAAGUCAUGAAGUAUGAAGAAAGCAAAAUCGCCAUAUUUUUUGUAAAAGCCAGUUAAUCAAGUCUUCCAUGUGUCCAUAUUUGAAUGAGAUUUAUAAUCUCAUUGGACAGAACAUAAACUUUCCUAAUAUCUCUACAUAAUAGUCUAUCUUUCCCAUAGACUACCCUCCAAAUCCCUGAAUUUUAAAUUUUAAGGUUUUGUCUUAAAAUAUAAAUAGUUCUGCCAGUACUGGGCUUUGAACCCUGGGCUUUGUCCAUGUAAGGUAGUUACUUCAGUGCUGACCUAUGACUCCAGCCCUGUCUUAAUUUGUUUUUACAAUUUUUUAUAAAGAAAGAAGCUUUAAACAAAUGGACCAAGAAAGUGUGGAACCGAUAUAAAGAAGGAAAUGAUACCACCCCCAACUUCAUCUUUUAGAAAAAUCCAUCUGUAUGUUGGCAGUUAGCCCCAGGAAGGAUGCUGGCAAUGGAAGCCACAGUUGUUACAGCCAUGCCCUAGGAGAAAGAAGCAGCAGGGCAUACAGGGUGCCUGCAGCUGCGGUGCUACCCUGCAGCCUCGAUGCUUCCCCUGCAGCCGCGGUGCUCCCCCUGUAGCCGUGGUGCUUCCCUUGAGGCCUCAAUGCUCCCCCUGCAGCCUCAGUGCUCCCCUUGUAGCCUCGGUACUCCUCCUGCAGCUGCAGUGCUACCCUGCAGCUCUCCGUGCAGCAGGAAGAAAUAAGUGGCAGAGACUCAGAGAAUGGUGGUGGUGUUUGUUGUCCUAUGGUUUCUCCUAAAGGGAGGGGAGAUGUGAAGUUUAACUGACUAUCCAGGGACAAUGAACAAAUGAUGGACACUCUUAGACUUGUGGCCAACAUGACAGCUCACUGAGAACUGGAAAGUGACUGCAGUUAGCAAGGUUACAAGGUUUCUCUCUCUCUCUCUCUCUUUUUUUUUUCUCGAGACAGGGUUUCUCUGUGGUUUUGGAGCUUGUCCUGGAACUAGCUCUUGUAGACCAGGCUGGUUUCGAACUCACAGAGAUCCGCCUGCCUCUGCCUCCCAAGUGCUGGGAUUAAAGGCGUGUGCCACCACCGCCCGGCGGUUACAAGGUUUCUUAAGACAUUCUCAGCGUUGUGGGUGCAGAGCAGGCAGAGUUCAUAAGAGUUUGAGUUUUAUCAAAUAAAUACAACCAAAUAGAGUUGAGAGGUGGGCCAGGGAGUUGUUAGAACAACCUACUACUAGCUUAAGAUAAGCAAAAGUAUCUUAAAAUAACCACCAAAUAAGAUACUAUAGUCAGUUUUGACACAGUCUUUUGCCAGGCAGGGACUUGGGUGAGCAGAGCACCAAGGAUACGAACUGAAAGCGUUCGCUGUGCUUUGUUCUUUUGUCAUAUGGACCGAAGCCCUCAGAAAAAGCCACAUGUGUCAAAAAUCUCAUCAUGACAAAGAUGGGCUGUAUGGUUCAAUGGAUAGCUGGACUUCCGGGUGCUUCAGAAAUCCAAAGGCUCCUUCCGGGAUAAUUGACUGUUAUUAUGUAGAGGAGGAUGUUGCAGAUCAGUAGACAGAUUAUCUUGGACUACCUUUGGCCCACCUCUGUAUCUGGCCUAACACCCUUCUCAACUAUCAGAGAAAAACCUUUGGUAUGUAUUAGCAAGACCAGUCACGAGAUGCUGUAAGAUCUAAAACAUGCGACAAAGGGUCCUCCCACUGUAAACUAACACACAGCAAUGUACAGAAGCAGCCUAAAGACCGUUCUGUCUGGUGACUGUAGGUGUUCACGCCAUCACUUUCAUGUUGGUCGACUCUUAGUUGGGGCAGUUUGAACACUUGUCUCUGGCUCGGGAUAAAUGAUCCCUUAUGCUCUUUGAGGUAUGACUUUGUGUUCUGUAAGGAGUUUAGCAUCCAUUGGUUUGGUCUACAGUGCACUCUGAGCUGACUGCUGGAGAGCCUCUUACUGUUUUCACAACAUUUGGUCAGAACUCUUCAUUUACUAGCGCUCAGCCAGGAUUUCUUUUUUGUUGUCUUUCUCGAUGCUCUUCUAAUAUCUAAUUCUGGGUUGCUGAAGCUCGUCAGUUAAGAGCACUUGCUGAAGACUUGACUUCAGUUCUCAGCGUACACACAGCCCUUAAACCACCUGUAACUCCAGCUCCAAGGCAUCUGUCACCCUCCUCUGGUCUCCAUGGUACCUGUAACUCCAGCUCCAGGGCAUCUGUCUCUCUCCUCUGGUCUCCAUGGUACCUGUAACUCCAGCUCCAGGGCAUGUGUCUCUCUCUGGUCUCCAUGGUACCAGGCAUGCAAAUGGUGCAAACAACACGCAUGGGCAAAACCCUUACACACAGAAUCAUCUUUAAUUCUGGGGUGCUUUUCUGUGCCUGUUCCCUCUUUUUGGCUUAGAAGUUUUAUGAGUCCAUGAUCAUAAAGAUGUCAAAGAUAAGAGCCAGUCAUUUUCCAGCUCAACAAGGAAAAGAUGACAGGAAUUUCUGUAGAAUGUGCAAUGGCCUCACAGGGAAACUCAAGACAACAUACAGCAUGCCCUGCUCCAGGGUGGUAAGGAACCUUAUUGGGAAGUUUCUUGAAUCCACCCAUGCAUGUUCUUGAGCCCACACAUGUUCCUGAAACUGUGCAGGAUAAAUGCAGAGCUUGGAGUACUGAGCUACUCCUAGAAGCAGCACAGAAAUCUCAAGCAAACCACAGAUCUCUCCAACUACCACGGAAGGCUUCAAUUUUUAGGGAAUAAAAGAUGCUAAAAUGGAAAACAAAAAGAUAAGAAAGAAGGAAAUAUUUGGGCCAAAAAGAAAAGAAAAGACAUUUGGUACUCCAUCUGGUUUUACGUGUGGUGACUAUGUUAAUUUAACUGGCAGGCACUAGAAAUGGCAAGCUCUUGGAUUCCCCAAACUGGCUCUUUUUGUUAAAUGCUAAACAAGAAGCUCCAGGAAACAACCAAAGACCGUAAGACAGGUGGCCUGCUUUAACUGUACUUUUAGGUAGUCUUGAAGAAAUGAUGAAAUUUCUAUUUUUUUAAGAAAUAUUUUAGAUACUAUUGAUAUUUUAAAAAAUGUUAGAGAUCAGGAAAUACAUUUUGAGGGGCCAUGUCAGAACUGAAGUUAAGGCCUGGCAAACCUUUCUCACCCCCACGCUCACACAUCUGUCUUGAGUUUUGCUUCUCUUCCUUCAACACCCUCCCCUAUUCUCUCCUUCAGUACCUGGGCAGAACAACUGUCUGCAUCAAAUGUUAGGGGCUCUCUUUUGGGAUGAAGCUUAGAGGAAAGGUGAUCUUUAUACUAUUUAUACCUCUAGAUGUGCAGAGGAUCCCUUGGAUCUUUCUUGAAGCGGCUCUCAGUAUUUUUUCCUAGCCCAUCUCUCUUCCUCUCUGCCACUCACUGACCUAAGAAUCACUCCCUCAAUACCAGGGAACCCACAGCUACCACACCCUCCUAAGACCCAGAGAAGGCAGCAGAAACCAAGGAAUGGAACGACACUCAUUCAACAAAAACAAGACCAGAUAUCAACAUCUACAGGCAACUCACCCACCCUAACCCCAGAUGCCUAGACACAAACACAAAUGGCCAAGCCAAGAUGCCUCCAGCAGAACCCAGUAACCCUACUCCAGCAGGGCAUGAGAAAGGCAGUACAGCUGAAGUACAAGACAAGGACUUCAAAGUAGCAAUCUGAACAUUAUUAAGGACCCCAAAGAGGAUAUGAGUGAAUCCCUCAGUGACGUCUAUGGAGACACAAAGAGUAGAAGGAAACAAAUAAAACCGUUCAAGACCUGAAAGUGCAAAUAGAAGCAUAAAGAAAACUCAAACUGAAAAAUUGAAAAGGGAAAACUUAGGAAGUCAAACAAAACCCUGAGAGGUGAGCCUUGCCAACAGAGUACAAGACAUGGCAAAGAGAUUCUCCAGAUGUUGAAGACAAAGUAGAAGAAAUGGAUACCUCAGCCAAAGAAAAUGUCAAAUCUAAAAAUAUCCAGGCACAAAACAUCCUCAAAAUAUGGAACCUUAAGAAAAGAUUUACUCUAUGAAUAACAGGCAGUCGAAGGCACAGAAAAGAUUUUCAACAAAAUCAUCAGAGGAAACUUCCACAACCUAAAGAAGGAGGUGUCUAUCAAGUGCAUAGGAGACACCACAUAGCACCAGAAGAGAAACCCCCGUGAUAAUUAAAACACUGAACGUACAGAACAAAGCAAGAUUAUUAAGAGGGACACACAAAGCAGACCCAUUAGAACAACAACUGAGUGCACAAUGGAGACUCUGAAAGCCAGAAGGGCCUGGACAAAUGCCCCACAAAAUCUAGGAGAUGGCAGACGCCACUCCAGACAAAACUUUCUAUCUAUAGAUCUACAUAUUUCUAUAGAUACCUAUACCCAGCAAAACUUCCAAUCACAACAGAUAAAGAAAAAUAUUCCACACUAAAACAAAGUUUAAGCAGAAUCAACCUAUCAAUCCAGCUCUACAGAGCACAAGAAGGCAAACUUCAGCCUGACGUUCCAUAUGUUCACAUACAUGAAUGGAAUCAAAAAGACAACGCCUAUGCAUGUCACCGACCAUGAAGAAGUUGCCCUGGUGCCUAACUAGAGCUUUCAUCCCCGCUACCAGAGGAGAAAGGCAAACACCAACCCAGCUACAAACCCAGGGAUCCACAAUGAGGACAUCCCUGAUGACACGCUGGCACAACAGUGAUGCAAAUGUUGUGGGAGCAAACGUCAUUGUCUGACUGGAUUUGAGGCCCAUUCCGUGAGAUGGAACUCAUGCCUGACACGCUUGGGUGACUAAUAACCUGAGACAAGAUAGGCCAAGGUCCUAGGGGAAAACCAGCUACCACUGUACUUCUAAAGGAGCAUAGAUUCUGCUAGACCCACGGACCAGUGCCUCGCUCAGCCAUUCUCAGAGAAGCUUCCUCAGGCAGCAGAUGGAAGCUAACACAGAGACUCACACAUGGACCACGUGCAGAGAGUGAGACUUUGGAACCUUCGGCCCUAAAUGGGGUGUCUCCAUCAACCUCUCCCUUCAGGGCUCAGGGAACCAUGUGGAAGAGGAGGUAGGAAGAUGUAAGAGCCAGAGGGGAUGGAGGACUCCAAGGAGACAGUGUCUUGCAGCACAACGGGCCUGACACACGUAUGAACUCAGAGAUGUGCCAGCAUGGACAGGGUACUCACAGGUUCAGGCCAGACAGGGUUCAAGCACUAACAGGAGGAAGUGGUCGUGGGUCCCACCCCUAGCCGAGAAAUUAGCUGCAACUGACAUCUGCUUGCUUGUGAAGGAAAAAUUAGUUUUCUUCAAUGGAGACUCAUGAUAUAUUAGCCACACUUAAGGGUUGACCAUGCCCAGCAGUAGGAUGACCAACACAAAAUGAACCCAGUGGUAUUUCUGUAGACAUUUUGGUUUGAUAUUGCUUUGUUUGGGCUUUUUUUUUUUUUUUUGUCUUACUGGUCUUUUGCUUGUAUUUUUAUCUGAUUUUGCAUUUUUUGUGGUUUGUGUGUAUGUAUUUCUUGUACUUUGUCUUUUUUUUACCUAUUUAUUUAUAUUCUGGUUUGUCUGCUUUAUUUGCCUGUUUUUCAAUGAGCGAAAGAAGGGUGAAGUUGUGUGGGUGGGGAGCUGGGAAGAGUUGGGGGUAGGCAAACUAUGAUCAGAAUGUAGUGUAUGCGAAAAUUAUUUUAAAUGAAAACAACGAGCAAAGGGUAUAAUAAAAUAACACACACGCACGCACCCUUGCUGUGGAGCAUGCAGCAGGGCCUCUGCCUCAAGCACUGGACUACGGCAGGCAUGUGCUGCGGUUUGGACACACGUGGAAUUUCUACUUAAGACAAUAUCGCAACAGGGCCUAAAUCAGGUUAUGUAUCAAGAGGUUUAAAAUUCAAAGAGAAUAUACAAGGUUUAGAUUUGACUCCGGUUUGAAAAUGACAAAACAUAAAUGGUUCAUAGACUAUGACUUUCCAUAAUUGGGCAAAUAUUCUUUGCUAUCACCUACACAUUUUAAGACACGUGGACACAUUCCUACAGAAGCUGGUACACACAAAGCUGUUACUUUGUUUCAAAUCAUAGCUAAUAAUGCUUUAAAACAAAAGUCAAUGUGGAAUUUAAACAUGGAACCAGUAGAGUCUCUGACAUUGUGAUUCAUAUAGAAACAAGGUGUCACUUGUUAGACUCCAGGUAAUUCUGACAGAAAAUCCUCUUUCCUGUAGUACCAGUACUUGAGAGGUAAGGCAGAGGGGUAGAUGAGACCCUGCCUCCAACAAACAAGCAAACUGGUUCAGAUAAAUAAAUAAAAGUUAAAAACUCAACAGAACCCGUUUUUAUAUUCUUUUAUAUAUUCUUCAUUUUUUUCCAAUCGGAUGAUCCCUUUCAGACUUGCUUAGAUCAGGGCUAUAAUACAUAGUUGACAGUCCUCGGUAGAAUGAUAAAAAUCUAUCUAUUCAUUUUUAGAGAUCAAAAUUAUAAAACUGUUUAUAAAUUAUGUAUUUAAAAUGAACAUAUUUAUUAAAAAUGUAAGUGAAAAUAUAUUUAAUUAUUUUAGGGCAGUCAAAACAAUAUGUGAUUGGUAUCUUGGUGGUUGAAAGUAAUCACUUUACCAGUGCAUUGUAAAUAUUUGU